rnacentral:lncRNA from 1 species
AGAAUAGCCACGUGGGAGGGGAACUAAGGAAUACUGUAUGAGCAUAGGAAGAAAUGCCUUUCAGACCUGGAAAAACAGCUUAGUCAGGAACCCCACUACAGACAAGGCUGUACCAGAACCCAGAGAUAUCCCUCACUCAGGAGAACCAGACAUAGUCACCCACUGGACAGUGCAUAAGCAGAAACUAAAAGCAAUGCUCUGCACAUCUGGAAAGAAAACACCUAGAUAAACCCUGUGGAUGGAGAAUCUCCCUCAAGAUCCUGACCCUCAAUUCAGAGACUUCUGUUAGAGACUGGACCUGACCUCCAGCUAAGAUAUGUCCCACAGGAAAAUAUGCAUAAGAAAUUCAACAACGAUGUAUUCCUACAAAGUUAUGUAAUGCCAAAGAUAAGAAAAAUGGCUCAUAUCACAGCAAACCUGGAUGCUGAAAGUAGAUCCAGACUGGAGCUUGUCUACAACCUUCAAAUGCCCAGCCCCAGUGAUCACUUCCAUCAACCAAACCCUGCCUCCUACAGGCUCUACAUCUUCCAAAACAGGACAACCAGCCAGGAGGUCAGUGUUCAAAACAUGAGCCCCAGGGGAACAUUUCAUGUCAAGUCACAAUAGCUCGAAACAAAAUAAAUGUACUGUGUCCGUCAUGGACCUAGAAGUAUGAAUCAGGGCCGAGCUCCCUUAGAAGGCUCUGGGAAGGACUUUAUGCCUCUCCCAACUCUCAUGGGCUCAGAUGCUGUUUGAUUGCAUCAGGAUACCUCCAGUUUUCAGAAUGUUGUGUUUUAUAAAAAGAUAAAGGGGUGAGAGAAUAUG